CACCCUUCGACGUAUUUACAUUUUUUCCCAAACGCAGUGUGAAACUUCAUGACAGUGAGAAAAAAACAGGCUGAAAAAAGUUCUUAACUAUUAAAAAUCUUUCUUUUAAUGCCUGGUAUAUAACAUUUGGGUCAUUCUACGUCUCUGCUAUGAAGUUAAAAGGGAUUGAAAGCGGUAUACCGGGGUUAGUAUGCAUCUGCUUUCAGUGUUUAUAUGAAUUAAGACAAAGUAUUCAUAAAUGCUAUCAAUUCGUUAUGUGGGAUUUUUAUGCCAUAUACAAUUCACAAUAUCACCGACUUUUUAUCAUAAAGUGAGGCAGUGUAUUUACAUUUUGAAACUAUGUUUAGCAAACCAUGUAUUGUACUUGCUGUUUGGCUUAGGCAAAAACAGUUUAGUGUAGGUUUUAUCCGCUUAUAUCUCAACGAUUGCACUAUCAUGUUUAAUCUGAAUAUAAAAUCGCUUUUUAUCAAAACAUACAUCUCUGCCGUGAACUAUAGCAUAUAUAUCGUUGAAGAAUCGCUUCACAAUAUUAGACUAUGACACUAAUAUGUUUGUAGAAUUCUAAUUUAAGCUGAAUUUAAAGUUUUUUGACAUAUAUGGCUGUUUUUAUAUAGAAAUUAAGUUAUAUUGAUGACACUGCAUUGUUUCUGAGCACUAAUAUUUACACUCAUAUUAGAGCCAAUAUUAACUUGUUAACACAUUAACUUGCAUUGGGUCAUAAAUGUGCCCUAUUCUAUUAUUUUGUAUUUUUGUUCUGUCAUCAAGAGGAGACCGCUGGUGCUCAAUGGGUAAUCAGGUAUCUGCCCAUGUGUCUGGGCAAGACUCUCAUUGGAGCUAGACAGAAUUAAAUAUAGAUAAGGGACCGCUCAUUAUUUAUUGUACAGGGGGGGAUUGAGGAGAAACUGGGGGGGCCUUCAAAUUUUUCAAAACCUGAAAGGGGGGGCUUUGAAAAAAUACAGAGAGACGAAAGAAGGGGGGCUUUGAAAAUAUUUACCAGUUUGAAAAAACAGUAGUUUUAAAAAUGUAUCACAAAACAACUUAACAACAAAUAACAAUAUUUAUAGACUUUAAUAUUCAUAAAUGGAAGUCAAAUAAAAAGUCUCUCAUGUUCAUGUAAAUAGACAAUUCCCAUUAUAGACUAAUUUUAGAACUAGGCAAAGAGAUGCAAAUCAAGGCCGGAUUUUGGUGAAAAUAGUGGGGGAGGUGGACAAAAAUUUUAGGAGAGGUGCAGCGGUCUAGCUCACAACUCCCAUGGAAAGUUAGGGCUUAUUGUAGAACAGGCCAAUAUCAACGAGGUGAGGUAUGCAUGUAGUGUACAUAAUAUGUACCAGUGUAUUAAUGAAUUAUGAAUGUAUGACUCCAAUCUUGCCCUUCAUUACAAUUGCUACACUGUUUCUUUCAAAACAUUGCAUUAAAAGGGUGCUUGACAUGGCUAUCACUGUUUCAAUUUUACAGAGAAAACUUUCUUACGUCACAAAGUGUAGAUCCUAAGCAACCAUCACAUUUUCACUUUGUUCCAUCAUUGAAACUUUCCCAAGGGGAAGUGCAUGACCUUUCAAGAGAGGUGGAAAAAUUCUCAGGGGAGGUGCAAAACGAUCUCUGGGGAGGUGCGCACCUCUCCACACUUCCCUCAAAAUCCGGCCUUGAUGCAAAUAAAUCACCACAGCUAGAAAGAGCAUACUAAAAUAAGUAAAUUAUUGCAAAGUUUGGUUGCGAAUUGUUGCAAAAUACGGAAAAUAUAGCCUUGCAAAGUUUGCAAAUUUUGUACACUUUUGUAUUGCAUGCGAAAAUUGCAAUUAUACAAAAGAAUACAAAAUUUGCAAACUUUGGAAGGCUAUAUUUUCUACAUAUUUUACAACAUUUUGCAACCAAACUUUGGAAUUUUAGUAAUUUUAGUAUGCCCUUCCCGGGAAUAUACUUUUUUUGCUAAGAUAAAAAAUUAGUCUAUAAUGGGAAUGUCUAUUGGUCCCCAUUACCUAUUUUUCUUUCUCUAAAAUAAACAGCUAGAGUUUUUGUUUCUCUAAAUAAAGAUAAAGAGCUAGAGGGGGGGGGGGCAAAAUUUAUGUUCUUGUUUUGCCUGUUGGGGGGGGGCUUUGAAAAUUUUACUUGUCUUAAGAGGGGGGCAACGAAAAAAUAUUACAACUGUAGAGUUUCUCCUCAGUCCCCCCCUGUACAAUAAAUAAUGAGCGGUCCCUAAAGUAUUGUAGCUUAAUGGGUUAAUGUUAGAUCUUUUAAUACAUAAGACUGGUCAACUGAUGACUCAGCUGAUCAAAUAUCUAGAUACUGCAUCAAUUAGAAUACUUCCUAGAAAAUUUCAAUCUAUGAUUCCAGCUGAGCAAUUUGCAACGAAGCAUGGAUACGGAUGUUGAUCUGCUGUCAGAAGAUCCGAUUACUUGUGGACAGUUGAUUGUUUUAGGGUAAGAUAGUUCUUGACAUAUUCAAGCUUUGUGGCCAGUGGCUGGUGCAUGUGGCUUUCAGGUUUGAUUAGAAUUUUGAUCAAGAGU